GAUCAAGACUAAUAUAGCAUUGAGAACCCUCAACAAGCAUGGAAACAAGUAGAUCUAACACUAAACACCCUAGAUCUUCUCUAAUCACCCUUAAUCACCCUAGGUCGGCGCGGGUACACUGGGUCGCUCCACGUAUUUUCCUUCACGUCUCCAAAUCGCGCGCGGGCACGUGACGUCGCUCCCACAGGUCGCUCUACAUCUGGAGCGGGUUAAUCACCUCGCUGUGGUACGUCGCUCUGAUAUGCUUGCUUCUCGUCAUCAAACUGCGCGCGGGCACGGAACGUCGCUCCACCAGGUCGCUCCACAUAGUGAAAGUUGUCGACAAGAGGUUUUGGCUCGGAGCGGGUGCUUCACCCCGGUGAAGAGGUCGCGCUGUCUUCGUUUCACCUGGAGCGAGUGUCGUAGGUCGCUCCCGUAACCCGCUCUGGUGCUCUGCUCGCUCAAACAACACUUUCCACUCCCUUUUGAUCCCAAAUGCUUCCAAGUACCUCUAAGAACUCCAAUGGAAACUCCAAGACCUGAUAAAGACUUAUGCAAUGCAAAAAGGAGACUAAAAUGCAUGAUCCCUAAUCUAAAUGAUCAAAACAUGCAAGAAUAGAGAGUUAAAACAAUGUAAAUAUGCAAGAUAUCAACUCCCUCAAACUUGUUCUUUACUUGUCCUCAAGUGACUUUGUAAGAACUCAUAAAGGAGAGAAGUUUGAAGGUGGGAACUCAUAGCCAAAAGUAACACUUCAUAGCACUCAACUUAACAUCCUAAAGAAACAUAGCAAAUAGCAUGAACAUCUUCCUUAUUAUACUCUAGCUUCUCUAGGUCUAUCCAUACUCUUUUGCCUCUACUCAAGUUGUAAUACUCAUCACCAACAAGUUCCUUCAACCAGCUCUCACAUUGAUUCACACACACACAAGGUGAAUUCUCACAAAUGGGCACAUGAUCUCAAUCAUUCGGCUAGGUAAGCAAUGAUCUAAUAUGAAUGAAGAGAGGGGUUCAAAUGUUUUCAUUUAAAGGUGGUUAUCACUCAAAACAAAGAGCUUGAUCAUUAUGCAAAAUUUACCUAAGAUUAGAAGCAACUCAUGCAUACAUAGAUUCAUUCUCAUCAUUCUACUUCAUUCCUAAGUGAUUACAAAUUCUACACCAUCUUCAUUCAUCCCAUAGCCCAAAAUGAAAAACACUCACAUCACUCACCCAAUGAACAACAUUCUUUUCCUAAGACUCAACCACUAAGGACCUCUUAUUCACUUUUCACUUUUCUAAGCUCUAACACUUUUUAUUAUCCCUUCCCCACUAUCUUAUUGAAUUUUUUUUUUUUAUAUAUUUUUUUAGAGGGGGAAAGUCUCAAAUAAUACAAUCAAGAGAUUUCUUAUCUUUCUAUUCUAGGUCCCUAGGGCUUUUCUUUCUCAUGACAAUCUUUUGUUCAUCAAUCUCAACUUUAUCUCCACGUAUUUUGCUUCACGUCUCCAAAUCGCGCGCGGGCACGUGACGUCGCUCCCCCAGGUCGCUCUACAUCUGGAGCGGAUUAAUCACCUCGCUGUGGUACGUCGCUCUGAUAUGCUUGCUUCUCGUCUUCAAACUGCGCGCGAGCACGGGACGUCGCUCCACCAGGUCGCUCCACAUAGUGAAAGUUGUCGACAAGAGGUUGGGCUCGGAGCGGGUGCUUCACCCCGGUGCAAGAGGUCGCGCUGUCUUCGUUUCACCUGGAGCGAGUGUCGUAG
rnacentral:lncRNA from 1 species